CUCGCGGGCCCUUUCGGGGUUCAGCGGCGGCCGGGUGCGUUCACGCGUGGGUACGUGCCUUCUGGUCUGGUAUCACCCUGGGUCACUCAGGCUCAUCCCGGUUCCGCCCUUUUGGGGUCAGGUUUCAUGCCGGUAAGUCCGGCCCGCGUCUGUUGUCGCUCGUUGGUGGGGUUCAACGGCCUCCCAAGGCUCCUCUCAGUCGCUGGUCUGCGUAGUCGCUCAGCCACACUGGGUCUGUAUAACGGCCCAUCCUCCUUAGGGCGGCAGCAGUGGGGAAAUCUUGGACAAUGGGCGCAAGCCUGAUCCAGCCAUACCGCGUGAAUGAUGAAGGCCUUAGGGUUGUAAAGCUCUUUUAUCCGGGACGAUAAUGACGGUACCGGAGGAAUAAGCCCCGGCUAACUUCGUGCCAGCAGCCGCGGUAAU
rnacentral:rRNA from 1 species